UACGGAGGAUCCAAGCGUUAUCCGGAUUUAUUGGGUUUAAAGGGUGCGUAGGCGGUUUAUUAAGUCAGUGGUGAAAGACGGCAGCUUAACUGUCGCAGUGCCAUUGAUACUGAUGAACUUGAAUGUACUAGAAGUAGGCGGAAUGUGACAAGUAGCGGUGAAAUGCAUAGAUAUGUCACAGAACACCGAUUGCGAAGGCAGCUUACUAUGGUAUAAUUGACGCUGAGGCACGAAAGCGUGGGGAUCAAACAGG
rnacentral:rRNA from 1 species